AAAGGGUGGGAUCACUGAGGUUCCAAAUAGACGAAUAUGGUCGUAUAGAAAUAGUACCUAUUGGUAUCUUAUAUAGGCAUAUGCGUCUUGAAUAUGAUAUAUAGAGAGUUAUAAAGUGAAUCGAUCCUUAAAUGAAGAUAGCUCCACUUCAUAAAAUCCUUUUAUAACAUCCUCAACCUACGUUGAAUUAAGCAGCAUUAUUGUAUCGGCAUUAUUUUAUUCGGGUGCCACUGCACCGGUGCCAUUCAAGUAUCACGGUAGUUAGUGCCUUGGUCCCCUCCCACCAGUCGUGCGCUGUGCUCUUUCAGAGACCGUACCGACUGGAAUCUAGCGACCGCUGACCGUUUUGAAGACUGUACGCGGCCGGCAGCGGGCGGUCCCAUCCUCGCCUCCGGCUAGAGAGGGGGAGACCGCGACAGGGGACCGCGCGUCCCCCGUCCCGUUGUGCCGGCUCGCAGAGUGCGGACGGGUGUGUUGAGUGUGUUGUGUCCAGUGUCGUCUGGCGUCUCCUCUUUCGAUCCGACCAUGGCGAAGUUGGCUGAGACCGCCACUGGGGCGCGGGUUAAAAAACUCACGCUGAAACGUUCUCUUCAAAAUGGUGGCGAUCACCGUCGUCACUCACUUGCCUGCGGCAAAGAGAAAAAGUGCUGCCGGUGGCGUCAUGUAGCGUCAUGACUUGAAACAGGGCCCGAAGUGCGAGGCUCGACAGGCGACUCAACCCCCACGGCCCUACUCAACCGCUCAAGAUGUGAAGCUGGCGGAGACUGAGCGGCGGCCGAGGUUGUGUGACGUGAUAUGUGAAGUGUAACUGACUCGAAAAAAGUGAAGAGCUGUGCAUAUAUCAUGGAAAUACAUUUUGCCCCGAACAUUGACUGUGACGGUGACGCUGGAAUAUUUUAGGUAAUUACGGGAUCCUAAGGGAUUUCGUACACGUAUAGGUCUGUCCACAACAACAUCGAGACAAUGUUGUAUCAACAUCGAGACAAUGUUGAAUCAACCAAGAAUCAGCAUCGAGACAAUGUUGUAUCAACAUCGAGACAAUGUUGAAUCAACCAAAAAUCAACAUCGAGACAAUGUUGUAUCAACAUCGAAACAAUGUUGUACAAUGUUGUCCUGUCAAUAUUGAUACGAUGUCGAAAUUCAACAUCGUAUCAAUGUCGAAAGUGGCUAACAGAAUUACAUCGAUACAACAUUGUUGUCAAUAUUGAUACAACAUCGAUACAAUAUUGAUGUGCUACUAGGGAGUCGAGUAGCAAUAAGUAAUGUCCUUUUUGGACGCUAUUUGAGUUUUUAUCGUCGAAAUGCGGUAGGUAUAUGAGUUGCGACGCCAGAACUUGUGACCAAUGCUAUCAAGCUAUUAUAAGAACUCUCUGCCCUGCUAACUUUUAUUUGAAGCACGGACCUCUACAUACCUCUGGAGACUUUGGCAUAUGAAGGGAUGCAUACUUGUAGAACACGUCUUAUCGUUGUUCGCUGACCGCUUUAUGCCGUAUUUGCGACUCGUAGCU